CUUCGCAUGAGGUGGCCAAACUAAUGGAGUUUCAGCUUUAUAUAAUGUUUAAGAUGAGCCAGCAGAGACUUUUCCAGGGUGGUUCCGGACAGCACGGCGGGGCGGAGCCUGAUGCCUUGACUGGGCGGGGAUACCGCUGGAGGCGGGCCCCUUAAGCACCGUGUGGACGCUGCCUAACUACUUCCGGGUGUUCCUGGCAGCAGCCAAGGUGACAUUGUGGCCACGCGGCUGUUUGCCAGCUCUUUCAUCAGUACCAUUAGUCCAGGCUUCUGCACCGACUUCAUGGCUCCCUCUUCCACGCCUGCUUCGUGUUGGUGCUCAAGCAGAACUCCGUCUUCAGCCUCCUGGCUGUUACCAACAGCCUAGCUGUGCGUGUCCCACUCAGAGCAUCUGUUUCUCUUCAUAUCAAUAUAGAGAACAAGCAAUACCAGCUGGACUUCAGUAUAAAGUCUGUCCAAUAGACAAUGAGUUGCAAAUAUAACUCUGUGUGUGAAGAAUAAUAAUGGAAAAACUGCAAGGAGAAAAACUGACUGUUCUCACUGGUAAGUUGAGUGACUUCAUCUGGAUGAAAGGGUCAGGGGCUUGAGAAAUAAAUUUGAAUACUUGCAGAUGAAAUAUGAAGCU
rnacentral:lncRNA from 1 species